rnacentral:tRNA from 1 species
GCGUCGUUAGCUUAGUUGGUAGAGCAUCGGACUUUUAAUCCGAGGGUCACUGGUUCAAAACCAGUACGGCGUACCA